UACAGAGGGUGCGAGCGUUAAUCGGAAUUACUGGGCGUAAAGGGCGCGUAGGCGGUUAUUUAAGUUGGAUGUGAAAUCCCUGGGCUUAACCUAGGAACUGCAUACAAGACUGAAUGACUGGAGUGCUGUAGAGGAUAGUGGAAUUUCCGGUGUAGCGGUGAAAUGCGUAGAUAUCGGAAGGAACACCAGUGGCGAAGGCGGCUAUCUGGACAGACACUGACGCUGAGGCGCGAAAGCGUGGGGAGCAAACAGG
rnacentral:rRNA from 1 species